rnacentral:rRNA from 1 species
CCUACGGGGUGCUGCAGUGGGGAAUAUUGGACAAUGGGCGAAAGCCUGAUCCAGCCAUGCCGCGUGUGUGAAGAAGGCCUUCGGGUUGUAAAGCACUUUCAGUGGGGAAGAAAGCCUUGAGGCUAAUACCCUCGAGGAAGGACAUCACCCACAGAAGAAGCACCGGCUAACUCCGUGCCAGCAGCCGCGGUAAUACGGAGGGUGCGAGCGUUAAUCGGAAUUACUGGGCGUAAAGCGCGCGUAGGCGGUCUGAUAAGCCGGUUGUGAAAGCCCCGGGCUCAACCUGGGAACGGCAUCCGGAACUGUCAGGCUAGAGUGCAGGAGAGGAAGGUAGAAUUCCCGGUGUAGCGGUGAAAUGCGUAGAGAUCGGGAGGAAUACCAGUGGCGAAGGCGGCCUUCUGGACUGACACUGACGCUGAGGUGCGAAAGCGUGGGUAGCAAACAGGAUUAGAUACCCCUGUAGUC